rnacentral:misc_RNA from 1 species
GCUCUCCCUCGUCGAACCCGACACCCCUAUCGCACGCUCUCUCUUUGGUAGUCUGACCACCUGCGAAUCUAGAGUCUCUCCCACUUCACCCGAACAACCCACCAUCCCUUCCUUCCCAUCUCUUCUCACUAAGUCCCGAUUCGCCAUCUCUAUUCUACAUGUAAUACUAAUAACAGUAAUAUCAUCUUUGAUUGUUGUUUGGAAUCAUUAGAGACAAGGAGAGAGUGGAAGG